rnacentral:misc_RNA from 1 species
UCUCCGUAGGUGAACCUGCGGAGGGAUCAUUACAGAGUUCAUGCCCUACCGGGUAGAUCUCCCACCCUAUGUUAUUAUUACUUUGUUGCUUUGGCGGGCCGUUAGGCUCCGGCCCGACUACCGGCCCCGGCUGGUAAGCGCCCGCCAGAGGACCCAAAACCCUGAAUAUUAGUGUCGUCUGAGUACUAUAUCAUAGUUAAAACUUUCAACAACGGAUCUCUUGGUUCUG